UCAACCUCGUGUUGAGAAUAAAUAAACACAGAGUCUUACGGAAGGCAGCCAAAGCUAACUGAAAUGCAGUAAAAUUUAAAAGAGGUGGCAACAAUGUGCCUUACUCAAAUUAAUGAAUAAAAUAAUAAAUAUUUAAAACGUAAUGUUUGGAAACAGGUGAAAACGAAAAUGGACAAAACCACAAAUUGAUUGAGAAGCCGGGUUUUUUUGACACAUCCAAAAAGGCCAAACAACAUUAUUAUUCAUUUAAAAAAAUUGAAGUGUACAUGAUGAACGCGUUAAAAUGUGGAAGAAACGAGACUUUUACGUUCUGACGACAUCGGCAUAUUGGUUAGGUACAAUAAAGAAGCUAAUUAUUUAUGCAACGAUAUCCGAAUUACAAUUUAAAUUACGUAAAGUUAUGUGGCUCAAUUCAAAGAUAUUUUAUAUCAUUGAGAGGAAGAGGUCUCAAAAGUCCACACGUGCGCAUAAAUCUUGAUAAUGGUUUAAUUAGCCGCGCCUUUAGUGGUCCAACUGGCGUCAAUUGAGAACAGUACACUUGGCUCUAAGCAUCGCCAUGUCUUUUAUAUGAUUUUUCUAACAAUAAAAACAUGCUUGAAUUUUUCAAAUAUUGAAUAAGAAUUAUGCAAACUAGGUGUAAGAAAACGUGUUCUUUCAUGACAUAACAGCAUGAGUCUUGCCACAAAACCUCAACUGAUAACAUGAAAACACUCCAAAUUUAUGUUAAACAACCCAGGACAUCCCAAAAGGGCUUGGUUCGAUCUCUUGGAGGAAAAAACUGUAAAGAAAGGAGAGAAGUGUCGAAUUUGACAUCAAAACAUUUAACAUAAUGUCUAUGUAGAUAAGUAUUCUUAACAAUGCAAAAGAUAAGCAUGCAGAUGGCCUUCAAAGCUUCAUCUUUACUAAUACAAGUCAAUCUUCAAAGGUGUCCCGAAACGUCAUCUUCAAUAUGAGAUUAAAGUCAAAGUUGUGAUACUUUCUUCCUGCAGCUAUUAAAAACAGCGUACUUCUAAACGUAAACAAGUGAUUGCCUUUUAUAUUUCGUGAUGACUUCAGUGAUGAAAGCAUGUUUCCUGUCUUUUUGAACAAUCACCCAAGCACUUGCUUGAGGCAAGACAAAGAUGACCUUGCGGUAUUCCUUAUUUCUGUUCUUGAACCUCAAACACAAGAAUAUAAAUACAAUGGGAAUAAAAUAGAGCUGAAGAAGACUUAUAUCUUAAACAUACUUUUGCAUUCAUAAAAAGAAGUGAUUUCCAGAUUAGUCAUUAAUUGCUAGGAAAGCCUGCUGUCUACAAUAUGUUCCUCAGUUCUAUUGUUUGAUAUUGUCUUGUAUACAACUUCAAGAAACAUUCUCAUAAAAUGAUUUAGAUUUGUAUUUAGAUAAAAUAAAUUACCACAAUGUA